rnacentral:lncRNA from 1 species
AUUCCCGCGUCGUUACGACGAUGCGUUUCAGCCACUUCACCAUCCGGCCGCCGAUGAACCCGGGUAUGAUGACCCGAACCGGAAACCCGUGAUCCGGCAUCAGCUGCUCGCCGUUCUGCAUGUACGCCACAAUUAUAUCCCUCGACGGGUCCAUCGCCACCUCUUUCUUCACGCUCGUGCCGUACUUGCUGCCGCCGCCACCUGGCAGGUCCUCGGCUCCCUCGAAGCACACGUUGAGGGCCCCGCUCUUGCGCCCGUAGAUCCCGCACCGCUUGAGCACGUCGCAAAGCGGCACGCCGCGCCACACAGAGUUGGAGACUCCGGCGGGGCCCCAGUUGAAGCCGAUGGUCUGCUUCA